GGCAGCAGUUUUUUCCUGCUUCUAAAAUCGAACUGAAGCAUAGUUUCUUUCUAGGUCUUGAGCCUGCUGGCCUGACUGGAAUCACACCAUAAACUCUCCUGGAUCUGGGAACUUGUCAGCUUCCAUAACUUGAUCUUAAAAUGGUCAUAGCAAGAAAGGGUGAGAAGAUACACAACUGCUGGAAUGCUCAUAAGGCAAAGGUGGAUUACUGAAGCAUCUUCUCAGUUGUAUGAUAACGAAGAACUGAGAGUAGCUGGGACUCCCUCUCUCUUGAUCUGUCACACAGCAGCUUGGUAUGCUGGAGACAGCCCGGGCAGUUGAGCUGCAGACUUGGCAAAGAAGGAAAUGACCCAGAUGCUGGAUGGAAGUGUGUGACGGACUGACAGACAGGUAAAAUUUUCUCCAUCUAAGGAGAUGAUGUCACCACCUUUGUUGGCUCAACCCAUUUGUAUAGUUAACCAUCCUUGAUUCUUCAUUUUCCUUUACCACCACUCCAGCAAGUCUAGUAGAUCUGUUUCUAAAAUAUAUCUGUUCACUUGUCCAUUUCCAUGGCUACCAACUUUAUUCUAAAGAUGUCAUCUCUCAUGU